GGGAUUGAUGUUUUUGACAAAUUUGGGGGGUCAAAAUGAGAAUAUCUAAAAAGUCCAUUUGAAGACGUCGUGCUACUUUGAAAUUGAUUUCGGGCUUUGCCGCUCAAUCUCCCCUGAAUCUGUUCGUUUACGGCACAUCAAACGCCACUCUCCAUGGGCAGUGCGGCAGGCUAUGAAGACCCGACGAGUGGGAACUAGUAAACGACGAUGGAUUGGUUCACAAGCGCAAGAAGCGCCGCCGCAUGUUCCCCAACGCCACUUCAUCCUCCGGCCAUCCGGAGCUUGAGAAGAAGCACCGUCGUGAAUGGAAAAAGAGGGCUCUUCUGAAGCUGCGGGAAAAGUAUUUAAAAGAGAUUAGCCGGUGGGAACUUUUGUCGAACACCUUGAAGAAAGUGGAGAAGAAUGCACAGACGCGAUUGCUGAAGCUGUAUCCCACAACGUUCUCUGAAGCAGCUUCGAGUUCAGAGCAGAAUUCCACCUGCCGGAGAAUCGUUGACGAUCUCUUCUCUCAGGCUGAUGGGCAGGAGGCUAUAAUUCGGGCUGCCUUGAGUUUAUGUGAUGCAGCUGAAGCAUUGUGCAGUGCGCACGAGGAAAGAUUGAAGCAACAGCUCACCAACCUACCAAUUUGGGGACCUUCGCCACAUGAGCUCAUGGCUGCAUUUGGAGAAGAAUAGGCUUCUUUCAGGAAUACGUAGUACAAUUCUGAUUGAAGAAGGAGCAUUAGGAGAAACUGCGUUACGAUCUGGCUAGCAACUAAUCCUUGGGGUGCACAGAGAUUACCACCAGUAUUGUUGUGGCUGAGUCUGAUAUGUACAUCCGCAGAUUAUGGGGUUUUCCUAAUGAGGUGUGUGCACUUCCUAAGUUGUUAUAUGAUAUUCUUGCCUUAACUUUCAUUUGCUUGCAACACUAGGCCAGGAAAAGAUUAAGCACUCGGCUUUGCUAGUACAUUCAUAGUAUCUGUCUAAUACAAGUGGCAUAGACAAGUUUUAUGAGGUCUUCAAGCUUGAACUCUACGUGAUUGAUAUUGCUGAGAAGGAAGUUCAUGUACAUGCAUUCCUCUUUAAAUGGUCUUAAGUCUGAAGGGUUGCAGAGUUCCUGUGAUUGUUCUCUCUAACUUUGUCUUUCCAAUGUAACUAUGUACCAAUUUUCUGUCAGUUUCAUUAAUAGAUUGGGCAUUGCACGUCGUAAUUGUUAAACCAAAACAUCUUUUCACCUUAUCAGUAUGACAACACUGAUGCUACCAUAAAGAAGGUAACGACUGAACUUCUCUGUUUCCUCCCUUCCAAGUAGGUAUUUAUUUUUGCUACUCCGUUAGUAUGCUUUGUAAUUGCUUGACAAAAUUGUACCAUUGGCAGAGAACUUUACAAUUAGAUUUGUUUCACCACGAGGUUGGACAAGUGUGCUGGAUGAAUUUGUAUGAUUGAAACGGGCUAUCCAUGCGAGUGUCUGGAAGCAAACUAAAUGGUGACUAUAAUGAAAAAUUAUCUAUGAGUAACUCCAUCCACCACCUAUUUGUGAUGGAAAACAUAGAAUGUAUUGCUCUUCUUGCUAGCUGGUACGACAAGCGUUUUUUGCACCCAAACAUCAUCUUAUCCUAUGAUCAUACAUUUAUCUGGGAUGAAGACUUAGGGUCAAGAAUUUUGAUGCGGGGGAGCAAGUAGAAACAGCUUGUAUCUUGCUUGUCAAGGUGUUCAGGUGAUACCCUUCACGUGAACAAGCAUGAUCAUACAUUUCACUGCCUGGUUUAUCCCCAGCUAGAGGAAUGAUGAGAAAGGCGAGAGGAAACAGAAGUUCACAGGAACACAGAGGAAAGACCAGGCUGGUGUACAGAUACUCAUUUGCGAACCUGCGCAGCAUGUAUAGAUGGGUUGAUCGCAUGAUUAUGUAUAUGUGUUUUUCUAAGUAUGAAGAAUUUUUUGGGCUGCUUUUGACAAAGAUGAAAUAAGACCAAAGGAAGUGUUUACGUCAAGUGAACGGCUUUCAUUGCCUAGAAGUGAAAACUGACCUCAACAAGCAUCGCAAGAGCAAAAUCAAGCCCCCACCCAUGGACCAAGUCAUUCUGCAGCAAUAUUACUAAUAGUUAAGAUUCACUACCAACAUGCAGGUCUGAGUUUCAAAGUAACAACAUUUCUCCCCUAGCCGUUUCUUGGACAUUCUUUGUGUUCUUUCCUUUUCUUUUCUCUGCUACCAACUAGAAAAUUAGGGAAACGUAUCAGUGCCUGAAUCAUAUGCCAGACAGAGCGCCAUGCGUCACGGGAAAACACUGGGGGCCAUGAUCUCCACGAAUAGGUAUAUCCAAACUAAGUGUAAGGCCAGUUUGGUUUUAUUUUAAUUUUCCAAUUAUUUUCAGUUUUGUAUAUGUUUUCAUGUGAAAAUAAA